ensembl:lncRNA
UUUUAUUCCCUGAUACAAUGGCAUGUAUUUUGGAUACUUUAUAAAGGCUCAUCCUUUUCAGUAGCAGAUCUCUGAUUCCAGGUUCUGCCUCAGGUCUGGACUUCUUUCGUAGAGAAGGAAGAAAUCUUCCACCUUCCAGAAACCUGAUAUUUUGGACCAGAUCCCUCUCUGAACAGGUUGUAUGCUGCCCUUUUCAGAAUCAAGCUAUCAGAAGAUGCCCUUCAGCAGAAGUGUUAAGAGGACUUGUAUAAAGGAAGGUGCAUGCUCAAGAAUUGCUAUCGGAUCAAGUUGCUGAAGAUGACAAGUCACUAAUGGAAUAGCAGAAAUGUUUUGAGGAGCAGUAUCUGCCACCCUCUCUUCUGUACUAACCACCGACAGCUGGAGACCAGGCAGCAGAAAGGCAAGAGGAGCAUGUCUCAUAGAUGCGUGUGCUUAGGCUUGAGGCUGAGCAAAGUUUCCAGGAGAAAGGGUGUUUAAUGUGGAGCAUUAAAGCCAAUAGUGAGUGUCAGAGGAAAAGCAUCAGAAGACCGCGUGUACAAGCAUCUGCAUGUUUGACUUUUUUGCACCAGAUUCCUGGCUAUCACUGUCUUAGGAUACCUAAGAGGGCCGCAGUUGUCAUAAGCAUGUCUUAAGUGGGUACUUCGGAAUUGUCCUGGGAUGGUAUCGAGCCAAUCUAACAGCUUUCUCGCGUGAAGUAUGCACAGCGGAAGAGGGAGAGAGGGAAGAGGAAUGUGUGGCAUUCCUCUGCGCCUUUCUGGCACAAUUGUCCUGGUGGUACUGUUUCAGCUGGUGUAAUCAAGAACAGCCCUGCGGCUAUGCUACGGCACGUGAAGCUCCUUUUUCUGACCCUUAUAUGGCACACGACUGCAGCCUGACUGGUGGGGCUUGCAGCUACUUCUCCUCCUUGCGCGCUCUUCCACCACAAUGAGCACAAAUUUGACGUGUUUAGGAAUCUGCCCUUAUGUUUUAAAACUCCAUGCAAAUAUGGUAAUAAUAACUAAACUGACAUUUGCUUUUGCUUCUGUAUAGUAUGUCUUUAAUAUGAUUACUACCCUUAACAUUUAAGGGAAUUUUGACAGUUAUGUAAUCCCUUCAACAUUUAAGUACAACAGGAAUUUAUUAUUAAGUGCAGUGGCUGGAAAUGGAGUACUUUUUUCAUUCACACUAUAAACAGUUACGUUGGAUUAGUAAUCCUGCUUGUCAGAGUUGCUCACUGUUUGAUAUUAAUCAGUAGGUUUAUGAAAGGUGCAAUAGAAGGCAGAAACGAACAGUGAAGAAGUUGUAAACCUUGUUUCCAUAAAAUCAGCCUCUAUCUAAUACUUAGGUUCACAACGUUUCUUGCGGCGACCAUUAGACUAAGGGGAAAGGAAGUACUGUUUUAUGGUAAUGGUACCCCUAACUAUCUUUUGAUAAACAUGUAUUUAGGUUCUCACUGUGUAAAUGCAAUAGCAGAGUGAUGAAAGCCAAGACUUUUGAGAACAUUCUUAGGUUGUUUUGUAAAGAGUAUGUUUUUCAGACCGUUGUAUAGAUCGACUGUGAUACAACCUGGCAAAACACUUAAUGAUCAAAUAUUACAUGACAAAAUGAAUAACAUCUCCUUUUGUUUCUUAUCCGCUAU